CGUUACUAUUGAUGCAAGUGUAUUUUGUUUAUAAUGUAGAUUUGUUUUACGUUGAGAAUCAAAAAAUUUUAUGAGGUGAAAUUAUGAAAUUAUUUGUACUCAAUUAGCAAAUUUUAGAAACUUUUUUAAAAACUAGGAUUAGAUACCCUACUAUUAAAAUAUAUUAAAUUAGGUAGUAAAGAAUAUUCUGAAACCUAAAAGAUUUGGCGGUGUUUUAAAUAAUUAGAGGAACCUGUUAUUUAAUCGAUAAUCCACGUUAUAUCUUACCCUAGUUUUGUUUGUAUAUCGUUGUAAAGACAAUAUUGAAAAAUUAUGGUCGGGAUUAAAUAAUUUUUAAAAAUCAAAUCAAGGUGCAGCAUAAUAGGGUUAUAAUGGGUUACAAUAUAAUUUAUAUAUGAUGGAAAAUUAAAUGAGAAAAUAAUUUGAAAGGUGGAUUUAAAAGUAAAUUGGAAAUAA
rnacentral:rRNA from 1 species